UGAAACAUCUUCGGGUUGUGAGGUUAAGCGACUAAGCGUACACGGUGGAUGCCCUGGCAGUCAGAGGCGAUGAAGGACGUGCUAAUCUGCGAAAAGCGUCGGUAAGGUGAUAUGAACCGUUAUAACCGGCGAUGUCCGAAUGGGGAAACCCAGUGUGAUUCGUCACACUAUCGUUAACUGAAUACAUAGGUUAACGAGGCGAACCGGGGGAACUGAAACAUCUAAGUACCCCGAGGAAAAGAAAUCAACCGAGAUUCCCCCAGUAGCGGCGAGCGAACGGGGAGCAGCCCAGAGUCUGAAUCAGCUUGUGUGUUAGUGGAACGGUCUGGAAAGUCCGACGGUACAGGGUGAUAGUCCCGUACACCAAAAUGCACAGGCUGUGAACUCGAAGAGUAGGGCGGGACACGUGGUAUCCUGUCUGAAUAUGGGGGGACCAUCCUCCAAGGCUAAAUACUCCUGACUGACCGAUAGUGAACCAGUACCGUGAGGGAAAGGCGAAAAGAACCCCGGCGAGGGGAGUGAAAAAGAACCUGAAACCGUGUACGUACAAGCAGUGGGAGCACCUUCGGGUGUGACUGCGUACCUUUUGUAUAAUGGGUCAGCGACUUAUAUUCUGUAGCAAGGUUAACCGUAUAGGGGAGCCGCAGGGAAACCGAGUCUUAACUGGGCGUUAAGUUGCAGGGUAUAGACCCGAAACCCGGUGAUCUAGCCAUGGGCAGGUUGAAGGUUGGGUAACACUAACUGGAGGACCGAACCGACUAAUGUUGAAAAAUUAGCGGAUGACUUGUGGCUGGGGGUGAAAGGCCAAUCAAACCGGGAGAUAGCUGGUUCUCCCCGAAAGCUAUUUAGGUAGCGCCUCGUGAACUCAUCUUCGGGGGUAGAGCACUGUUUCGGCUAGGGGGUCAUCCCGACUUACCAACCCGAUGCAAACUACGAAUACCGAAGAAUGUUAUCACGGGAGACACACGGCGGGUGCUAACGUCCGUCGUGAAGAGGGAAACAACCCAGACCGCCAGCUAAGGUCCCAAAGUCAUGGUUAAGUGGGAAACGAUGUGGGAAGGCACAGACAGCCAGGAUGUUGGCUUAGAAGCAGCCAUCAUUUAAAGAAAGCGUAAUAGCUCACUGGUCGAGUCGGCCUGCGCGGAAGAUGUAACGGGGCUAAACCAUGCACCGAAGCUGCGGCAGCGACACUAUGUGUUGUUGGGUAGGGGAGCGUUCUGUAAGCCUGCGAAGGUGACCUGUGAGGGUUGCUGGAGGUAUCAGAAGUGCGAAUGCUGACAUAAGUAACGAUAAAGCGGGUGAAAAGCCCGCUCGCCGGAAGACCAAGGGUUCCUGUCCAACGUUAAUCGGGGCAGGGUGAGUCGACCCCUAAGGCGAGGCCGAAAGGCGUAGUCGAUGGGAAACAGGUUAAUAUUCCUGUACUUGGUGUUACUGCGAAGGGGGGACGGAGAAGGCUAUGUUAGCCGGGCGACGGUUGUCCCGGUUUAAGCAUGUAGGCUGGUUAUCCAGGCAAAUCCGGAUAAUCAAGGCUGAGGUGUGAUGACGAGGCACUACGGUGCUGAAGUAACAAAUGCCCUGCUUCCAGGAAAAGCCUCUAAGCAUCAGGUAACAUCAAAUCGUACCCCAAACCGACACAGGUGGUCAGGUAGAGAAUACCAAGGCGCUUGAGAGAACUCGGGUGAAGGAACUAGGCAAAAUGGUGCCGUAACUUCGGGAGAAGGCACGCUGGUGUGUAGGUGAAGCCCCUGCGGGUGGAGCUGAGACCAGUCGAAGAUACCAGCUGGCUGCAACUGUUUAUUAAAAACACAGCACUGUGCAAACACGAAAGUGGACGUAUACGGUGUGACGCCUGCCCGGUGCCGGAAGGUUAAUUGAUGGGGUUAUCCGUAAGGAGAAGCUCUUGAUCGAAGCCCCGGUAAACGGCGGCCGUAACUAUAACGGUCCUAAGGUAGCGAAAUUCCUUGUCGGGUAAGUUCCGACCUGCACGAAUGGCGUAAUGAUGGCCAGGCUGUCUCCACCCGAGACUCAGUGAAAUUGAACUCGCUGUGAAGAUGCAGUGUACCCGCGGCAAGACGGAAAGACCCCGUGAACCUUUACUAUAGCUUGACACUGAACAUUGAGCCUUGAUGUGUAGGAUAGGUGGGAGGCUUUGAAGCGUGGACGCCAGUCUGCGUGGAGCCAACCUUGAAAUACCACCCUUUAAUGUUUGAUGUUCUAACGUUGGCCCCUGACCGGGGUUGCGGACAGUGUCUGGUGGGUAGUUUGACUGGGGCGGUCUCCUCCCAAAGCGUAACGGAGGAGCACGAAGGUUAGCUAAUCCUGGUCGGACAUCAGGAGGUUAGUGCAAUGGCAUAAGCUAGCUUGACUGCGAGCGUGACGGCGCGAGCAGGUGCGAAAGCAGGUCAUAGUGAUCCGGUGGUUCUGAAUGGAAGGGCCAUCGCUCAACGGAUAAAAGGUACUCCGGGGAUAACAGGCUGAUACCGCCCAAGAGUUCAUAUCGACGGCGGUGUUUGGCACCUCGAUGUCGGCUCAUCACAUCCUGGGGCUGAAGUAGGUCCCAAGGGUAUGGCUGUUCGCCAUUUAAAGUGGUACGCGAGCUGGGUUUAGAACGUCGUGAGACAGUUCGGUCCCUAUCUGCCGUGGGCGCUGGAGAAUUGAGGGGGGCUGCUCCUAGUACGAGAGGACCGGAGUGGACGCAUCACUGGUGUUCGGGUUGUCAUGCCAAUGGCACUGCCCGGUAGCUAAAUGCGGAAGAGAUAAGUGCUGAAAGCAUCUAAGCACGAAACUUGCCCCGAGAUGAGUUCUCCCUGAGACUUUAAGUCUCCUGAAGGAACGUUGAAGACGACGACGUUGAUAGGCCGGGUGUGUAAGCGCAGCGAUGCGUUGAGCUAACCGGUACUAAUGAACCGUGAGGCUUAACCUU
rnacentral:rRNA from 1 species